rnacentral:tRNA from 1 species
GAAUUCGUGGUGUAGUGGUAGCACAUCUAUCUCCAUAUCAGAAGGUUUCGUGUUCGAUUCAUGUUGGGUUCA